GUUGAAGCCUGGCCCUUAAAUCCUCCACAUCAUCAAGAUUCACAAAGCUCCCAAAGUGAAGCAAGCGUCUCCCGAGGGUAGAAUCCAGCAUCCUGAAAUCCUGGCUCAGCACGAGGGGAUGUCAGCACCAGCUUCUGAAGAACUGAAGACCAGUCACUCCUCGAAGCCACCAUGGAACAUCUCUGGGCCAGACCCCAAGUUAGGUGCUGAACUUACAGGAGAAUCUGUAUCUUUUCCCUCUUGGGCAUCAGGAUCCUAGGAAACAGUGAGUAUAAUGCAAACAAAAGUAUAUAUGCUUUGAGAUUUUUUUCCCCCUCUAGCUUAGCAUAUUUACCCAAUAAGCGUCUGACAGUAUGUUCUGAGAGGAAAACUCACAUUUCUGAACACGUAUUUUUCUUCUGAAAGGGGAGCGAUUUGGUUUUCUGAAUAGUAUGGAUGUAGCCAGCCCCAUUUCUAAGACAAAACUGGUAUAAAUUAUAUGCUUGAAAAUCUUCCUCUGACUCUUCAUAGUAUCUCAACCAUGAAUACAAAUAAGAAUCACGUGGAAAGCUUGUUAAAUGGCCCCAGGCCAUGUAUUCCAAUUCAUUAAGUCUGGAACGGGCCCAGAGACCUGUAUUUUUAACAAAGACCUCAGGGAAUUCUAAUGUCCAAGGACCACCCUUUGAGAAACACUGUCCUACAAAUAAAGGUCCAACUCUUUAACA
rnacentral:lncRNA from 1 species